rnacentral:lncRNA from 1 species
CUUGUCGCCGCUUCAUGGGCCGUCCUCUCCAAUCCAGCUAAGAAAUCGGUUUACGACUAUAUCCUUUUGUUAAUUAGAAAUCGAUCUAAGGAUUAUUUGGAAAUAAUUGCGUUUGUGUUGAAUUUCAGGUGGGGUGCAGGUUAAAUUGUAUGGGGCGGCUUAGUACUUGAAUCUUUUUGGGACUGUUAUUGGCUAUAACAUUGCUACAUCUAUAAGCAUGAUGUGAGUUUUAUCAUUAUUAUUAUUAUUAUUAUUAUUAUUAUUAUUAUUACUACUACUACGAUGUAAUGUUUGAAUGUUGUGUUGAUGUUUAGGGGGUGUAUUCGUUUAGGAUUUUAAUAGAUUUCUGCAGACUUUUAAAAUCUGGGCGUAUUCGUUCAAAACUUUUAAAAGUCUAUGAAAAUCUAGAGAUAUUCGUUCAAGACUUUUAAAAUUCUAUAAAAAUCCAGAGGUAUUCGUUUCAAACUUUUAAAAAUCUAUGAAAAUCUAGAGGUAUUUAAAAAUCUAUGGAUUUUAAAAUUGAACUGAUUUUCAUUGAUUUCAUUCAAAAAAUACACAUAAACAAAUCCGACCUCCGACCACGAGAAUUCGAAAGAUUUCAUAUUUCAGCGCCGGCUGGGUUCCGGUGGUCAUGGCUCGAAGAAGCCAAUGGCCGCUGACACCCAGCGAUCGCUGGGCUCGAAGAAACCCUUUAUUGCCGAGGCUAGUGCCUUUGAUGCAGAUGAGUCGAAGAGUCCACGUGGAAGUCCAGGGAGGCCAACAACAUACGAAAGUCCGUCUAUGUGUCUCUUCUUCGCGACACUUGUCCUACAAGAUAAUUUGUUUAAUAAUUAAAGGCAGCUUAGUUUCUUUCUCUAGCAUAUCAGCACUGUAUAAAUUUGGUGUUAUGUUACUUAUACUUUAAGUACAGUUAUGAGCUGAAAUUUAUUCCAUUUCAUCUUUCCAAUUCCUAUUUCUAUUUCAUCUUCCUACUCUAUCAUCAUUACUAUCAGGAUCCCGGCGGUGCAAAGAACGAAGAAAAAUAUUUGUUCGGCUCUACCGAUUUUGGUGCAAGUCCUGAAAGAAGCAUCUCUCUUCGUGCAGAAAGUGCCUUCCCAAAGAGUAAAGUUUUAAUAAGCCAGCGAUCGCUGGGCGCUGGGUCCAACGCUCGUUUAAAGCCAACGACCGCUGGGAUUUUUUGUUUGAAAUCCAUAAAAUUCACGUCAAAUUCUUGUUAAAAUCCGUUAAAAAUCUAGCAGACUCCUGUUUUGUAGUAGCCCGCUCUUUUA